UACGUAGGGUGCGAGCGUUAAUCGGAAUUACUGGGCGUAAAGUGUGCGCAGGCGGCCGAGCAAGUCGAGUGUGAAAGCCCCCGAGCUUAACUUGGGAACUGCGCUCGAAACUACUUGGCUAGAGUGUGGCAGAGGGAGGUGGAAUUCCACGUGUAGCGGUGAAAUGCGUAGAGAUGUGGAGGAACACCGAUGGCGAAGGCAGCCUCCUGGGCCAACACUGACGCUCAUGCACGAAAGCGUGGGGAGCAAACAGG
rnacentral:rRNA from 1 species